rnacentral:rRNA from 1 species
ACGCACGCCGGCGGCGUGCUUAACACAUGCAAGUCGCACGGAAAGGCCCUGCUUUUGUGGGGUGCUCGAGUGGCGAACGGGUGAGUAACACGUGAGUAACCUGCCCUUGACUUUGGGAUAACUUCAGGAAACUGGGGCUAAUACCGGAUAGGAGCUCCUGCUGCAUGGUGGGGGUUGGAAAGUUUCGGCGGUUGGGGAUGGACUCGCGGCUUAUCAGCUUGUUGGUGGGGUAGUGGCUUACCAAGGCUUUGACGGGUAGCCGGCCUGAGAGGGUGACCGGCCACAAUGGGACUGAGAUACGGCCCAGACUCCUACGGGAGGCAGCAGUGGGGAAUAUUGCACAAUGGGCGGAAGCCUGAUGCAGCAACGCCGCGUGCGGGAUGACGGCCUUCGGGUUGUAAACCGCUUUCGCCUGUGACGAAGCGUGAGUGACGGUAAUGGGUAAAGAAGCACCGGCUAACUACGUG